rnacentral:rRNA from 1 species
AGCUUCAGUAGCGUAUAUUAAAGUUGUUGCAGUUAAAAAGCUCGUAGUCGCAUUUCUGGCGAGAGGAUCCGGUCCGACCUUUUGGUGGGUUCUUGGGUCUCUUUCGCCAUCCUUGAGUGGUCCGUUCUGGCAUUAGGUUGUCGGAGCGUCAGCCGCUCAUCGUUUACUGUGAGAAAAUUAGAGUGUUCAAAGCAGGCUUAUGCCGUUGAAUAUAUUAGCAUGGAAUAAUAAGAUAGGACCUCGGUACUAUUUUGUUGGUUUGCGCUCCAAGGUAAUGAUGAACAGGGACAGUUGGGGGUAUUUGUAUUUCGUUGUCAGAGGUGAAAUUCUUAGAUUUACGAAAGACAAACUGCUGCGAAAGCAUUUACCAAGGAUGUUUUCA